rnacentral:rRNA from 1 species
AGUAGUUUCGAUCCGUGGCUACAGGACGACGCUGGCGGCGCGCUAACACAUGCAAGUCGAGCGAGAACCAGGGCUUCGGCCCUGGGGACAGCGGCGAACGGGUGAGUAACACGUGGAUAACCUGCCCUCGGCACCGGAAUAGCCCGGGGAAACCCGGAUUAAUGCCGGAUAGCCCCACAUCCCUGCGGGGAACGCGGGAAAAGGUAGCUUCGGCCUCUGGCCGAGGAUGGGUCCGCGGUGGAUUAGCUUGUUGGCGGGGUAACGGCCCACCAAGGCGACGAUCCAUAGCUGGUCUGAGAGGACGAUCAGCCACACUGGGACUGAGACACGGCCCAGACUCCUACGGGAGGCAGCAGUGGGGAAUCUUGCGCAAUGGGCGAAAGCCUGACGCAGCGACGCCGCGUGCGGGAAGAAGGCCUUCGGGUUGUAAACCGCUUUCAGGAGGGACGAAGCCACUCGGGUUAAUAGCCCAGAGGGUGACGGUACCUCCAGAAGAAGCCCCGGCUAACUACGUG